CUUCCUCCGCUGCCCACAGCCCGGCUGCCCGGGGACGCGGCGAGGGGAGGGAAGCGCGCGGGCGCCAAUGAGUUCACUUUCUUUUUCUCCCCCGCGCGCUCCCCCUCGCGCUUCCCGCCGGGCCCCUCCAGCCUCCUCCACCGGCCCGAGUCCUCGCUUCUCGGCCGGGGGAGUGGGAGGAUGGAGGAGGCAAGGGAGGAGGGAGAGAAGGGAAAGGUGAGCAGGCGAGCAGGGCGCCGUGCCAGGGAGCAGCAUCCAGGACCGUAAUUGUGGGCAAGGGUGGGGGACGUUCUGGGCUAGUGUGCCCGAGACCAGGCGCGUACACGUGUGUGUGUGUGUGUGUGUGUGUGUGUGUGUGUGUGUGUGUGUGUGUGUGUGUGUGUGUGUGUGUGUGUGUGUAAGAGAGAGGAGCCGAGCCUACCAUGCGCUUCCCUGGUGCGGAUCGCGGGAGAGCCCAAUCACAGGGCGAGCUGGACCUCGCCGUGAUCAUUUAUAAUCCUUGACUCCUCCGCUACGCCACUUGUCAAGAUGACAGGUACUUUAUUUCUUCUUCUUCUUUAUUCAAAAGAUGAGAUUCCCGGUUUUCUGCUUUUUUUCGCUGUCAAAUGGGAUUUGCCGGACUGAACCACGUCCACGCCGCCGCCCCUCCCUCCAUCCCUCCUCCCAGCCACGCUGGGUACGAGGAAAGCACCGAGGCUCCCAUGCUGUGACCAAUCAGUGUAUCUACUACUCUCGCCGUGAUUUAGGGGUCAUCCAUGAAUAACACUUCAUGCUGAUGAAUGGCUCUUGCUGGCUUUCGGCUCUGAUGAGGGGUCUGCCGGCCGCUGAUUGCAAACACUAAUGAACUUACAGCGCCAUUUGAAAUUCACACGCACCAACAAAGUGCGGGGGUGGGCAUUUCGGGUCAGCUGAGUCACCCGAGGAGGCGGGAGUGCAAGACGCUGCCGGGGAAGAUGGAUUCCUAGACAGAAGGGUGUAAUUAAGGAUUGCCACCCCCGAUUAGCAGCCCAACACUGCCCCUGCUACACAACUUGGUUUGCAGUGGGAGCGGAAAAAGUUUACCGCCCUCCAGGCCACUUUGACCUUUGCCGAGCCGCUUUCUGGCUCCCUGCCUUCUGCUACCUCCGGGCACCUUUCUGUCUGCGGUAGGCAUGGGUCGUGCGCCUUGGAGUGGACAAGUGAGCCUGACUCCUUGAGGAGGAGCUCCUGGUCGGUUCCUGAGAACCAGGUCCCGGGUCCCAGGUCCCAGCCUGGGCCACCGGUGCAACUGGGAGUCCCCAGGCCUGCCCAGAGAGGUUGCCAACCAGUCAGUUCCCUGCAGCUGGCAGAGGGAACAGACUCCAGCCAAGCCCUUGGCCCCCACCUUCCUCUGCGAAGGAACUUCAAAACAGAGGACUCCACCAAUCUGUACCUAAUUUGUCUUGGCCUGAAUCAAAGACGUUUGUAUUUCUAAGGUUCAAACGAACAAAUCUAGCAAUCGGGUAAACAGGGAAAAGCCUGAACCUUUCUGAUAUUUUCCCAAAGUUUAGCGUGGAACUCACAGGGAUUCGUGAACACAAACUAGAGCGUCCAAGCCCAAAGUUUGAGUUCCCAUGAAGCUAAGCCCAUGAGUGCUAGUAUGGGCUUUGUAAAGUCUUAGCAAUAAGUGAAUCGACCUGUUUCUAUGAGCAUUAAUGACCCACUGGCACAUCUUUCUGGAACAAUCUAGAGUUACACCAGGAUGGCACAGCCUCUUUACUGCCACAUGAAUUUCACACUUCAAAAAGGCUAAGGCAGCAGACUCAUGAAUUACACAGUCCUGUCUUCAUUAUCGUAACAAGUUUGUCACUUCUGAAUGCAUGGCUCUAGAUAUUACAAGAAAAUCAAGUAAACUCUCUCCAAAUUAACAUCCUUGACAUGACCAUAAGGAAAAUCCGAGGAUGUUUUAGGAAUCACCUUGUAGCUCAGUUUCCACAAAAACAUUGUGAGUGCAACUUUUAUAAUUGGCCAAGAAGCAAAACCCCUCUCUUUUUCUUACAUAUGUUGGUAUCCCGAGUACACAACAAAGACACACUAUCCCAACCAGGAAGAUGCCAAACAUAAUAGCUGCAGUGCAGGGGCAGUGUUUACUUCAGCUUUUUUUUUCCUGAAAAGUCUCAUUAAGGCUAACACUGCUGAUAAAUGGGGAAAGGAAUUAAGGAGGUCAUACAAUGUAGAAAUGGUAGUAAAUCUUGGAGACUGUCUCUAGCCCACUUUCCUAUUAAGUGAUGUUUAAAGUUUUUCAUAUUGCUGAACCUUCACACUAAGUGGACACACACACAGACACACAGACACACACACACCUCUAGAACUCAUCACUAUUGGUCUCUCUGCUUAGUGCCAAGCUUUGCUGGUGGAUAGAGCAUACAGGUGAAGGUCAGCAUUUGUCUGCUUCUGCAGGGGCUCAGCCUGUAAGUCACAUAGUGUGUAUGUAACACCUCUCCUCUCUUGUCCCCUCCUCUCCCCUCCCCUCAUUCCCCUUUCUCCUGUCUUCUACAUCCCCUCCCCCUUCCUCUCCUCCCCUAGUCUCCUUUCUUACUCCUCUUCUCUACCCUGUC